rnacentral:rRNA from 1 species
AUGCAUGGAGGCGCGGUGGCGUCGCUGGUGGACCUGGUGGGCUCUGCGGUGAUCUUCGCGGGCGGCUCGCCGGUGACGGGGGUCUCGCUGGAUAUCACCGUCUCCUACCUGGGCGCCGCCCGUGCAAACGAGGAGAUCGAGAUCGAGGCUCGGGUCCUCGGCAUGGGCGACAAGACGGGGUGCGUGACCGUGGAGGUGAGGAGGAAGGACACCGACCAGGUGCUCGCGCACGGCCGCCACACCAAGUAUCUCGCCAACGUCUCCAGUAAACUCUGA